rnacentral:misc_RNA from 1 species
GAUGAAGAACGUAGCGAAAUGCGAUAAGUAAUGCGAAUUGCAGAAUUCAGUGAAUCAUCGAAUCUUUGAACGCACAUUGCGCCCGCUAGUAUUCUGGCGGGCAUGCCUGUCUGAGCGUCAUUUCAACCCUCGCCCCCGGCUUUUGCUGGGAGCGGUGUUGGGGAUCGGCCGCCCGUCACUGGGAGGCCGGCCCCGAAAUAGAGUGGCGACCACGCCGUGUGCUCCUCUGCGUAGUAGUAAAUCACCUCGCAGGCGGACAGCGGUGCGGCCUGCCGUAAAACCCCCAACUCUUCUGGUUGACCUCAGAUCAGGUAGGAAUACCCGCUGAACUUAAGCAUAUCAAUAAGCGGAGGA